rnacentral:rRNA from 1 species
CAGUCGCCGCGGGAAUACAGAGGUCCCGAGCGUUGUUCGGAUUCACUGGGCGUAAAGGGUGUGUAGGAGGUCGGAUAAGUCAGGUGUGAAAUCCCGCAGCUCAACUGCGGAACUGCAUUCGAUACUGUUCAACUAGAGGAUCGGAGGGGGAAGCGGAAUUCUUGGUGUAGCGGUGAAAUGCGCAGAUAUCAAGAGGAACACCGGUGGCGAAGGCGGCUUCCUGGAAGAUACCUGACUCUGAAACACGAAAGCCAGGGGAGCGAAUGGGAUUAGAUACCCCGGUAGUCCCUGUCUCUUAUAC